rnacentral:rRNA from 1 species
UACGAAGGGUGCAAGCGUUGUUCGGAAUAACUGGGCGUAAAGGGCGCGUAGGCGGGUCGGUCAGUCUUAUGUGAAAUCCCCGGGCUUAACCUGGGAUCUGCAUCAGAUACUGCUGAUCUUGAAUGCUUGAGAGGGUGGUGGAAUUCCUAGUGUAGAAGUGAAAUUCGUAGAUAUUAGGAGGAACACCUGAGGCGAAGGCGGCCACCUGGCAAGACAUUGACGCUAAGGCGCGAAAGUGCGGGGAGCAAACAGG